rnacentral:rRNA from 1 species
UACAGAGGGUGCAAGCGUUGUCCGGAAUCACUGGGCGUAAAGGGCGCGUAGGCGGCCCGGUAAGUAGGGGGUGAAAUUCAGCGGCUCAACCGCUGGACGGCCUUCUAAACUGUCGGGCUCGAGCACAGGAGAGGCUGGCGGAAUUCCCGGUGUAGCGGUGGAAUGCGUAGAGAUCGGGAAGAACAUCAGUGGCGAAGGCGGCCAGCUGGGCUGUUGCUGACGCUGAGGCGCGACAGCGUGGGGAGCAAACAGG